UACAGAGGUCCCAAGCGUUGUUCGGAUUUACUGGGCGUAAAGGGAGCGUAGGUGGCAUUCUAAGUCUGAUGUGAAAGCUCUGAGCUUAACUCAGAAAUGGCAUUAGAAACUAGUUUGCUAGUGGAUUGGAGGGGAGAUUGGAAUUCUUGGUGUAGCAGUGAAAUGCGUAGAUAUCAAGAGGAACACCAGUGGCGAAGGCGAAUCUCUGGACAAUUCCUGACACUGAUGCUCGAAAGCUAGGGGAGCAAACGGG
rnacentral:rRNA from 1 species